rnacentral:rRNA from 1 species
CCUACGGGUGGCAGCAGUAGGGAAUAUUGCUCAAUGGGGGAAACCCUGAAGCAGCAACGCCGCGUGGAGGAUGAAGGUUUUCGGAUUGUAAACUCCUUUUGUUAGAGAAGAUAAUGACGGUAUCUAACGAAUAAGCACCGGCUAACUCCGUGCCAGCAGCCGCGGUAAUACGGAGGGUGCAAGCGUUACUCGGAAUCACUGGGCGUAAAGCGCGCGUAGGCGGGUGAGCAAGUCAGAUGUGAAAUCCUAUGGCUUAACCAUAGAACUGCAUUUGAAACGGUUAUUCUAGAUUAGGGGAGGGGUAGGUGGAAUGCUUGGUGUAGGGGUAAAAUCCGUAGAGAUCAAGAGGAAUACUCAUGGCGAAGGCGACCUGCUAGAACAUAACUGACGCUGAUGCGCGAAAGCGUGGGGAGCAAACAGGAUUAGAUACCCGGGUAGUC